rnacentral:rRNA from 1 species
UAGUACGGCGAGUGAACCGGGAAGAGCUCAAAUUUGAAAUCUGGCGUGCUCAGUGCGUCCGAGUUGUAAUCUAUAGAGUCGUUUUCCGUGCCGGACUGUGUCCAAGUCCCUUGGAACAGGGUAUCAAAGAGGGUGAUAAUCCCGUACUUGACACAAUGACCGGUGCUCUGUGAUACGUCUUCUACGAGUCGAGUUGUUUGGGAAUGCAGCUCAAAAUGGGUGGUGAGUUCCAUCUAAAGCUAAAUAUUGGCGAGAGACCGAUAGCGAACAAGUACCGUGAGGGAAAGAUGAAAAGCACUUUGGAAAGAGAGUUAAACAGUACGUGAAAUUGUUAAAAGGGAAACGAUUGAAGUCAGUCGUGACUGAGAGGCUCAGCCGGUUCUGCCGGUGUAUUCCCCUCAGUCGGGUCAACAUCAGUUUUGUUCGGUGGAUAAGGGCAGUUGGAAGGUGGCACCCUCGGGUGUGUUAUAGCCAGCUGUCGCAUACAUCGGAUGAGACUGAGGAAUGCAGCUCGCCUUUAUGGCCGGGGUUCGCCCACGUUCGAGCUUAGGAUGUUGACAUAAUGGCUUUAAACGACCCGUCUU